UACGAAGGGGGCUAGCGUUGCUCGGAAUUACUGGGCGUAAAGGGAGCGUAGGCGGACAUUUAAGUCAGAGGUGAAAUCCCGGAGCUUAACUUCGGAACUGCCUUUGAUACUGGGUGUCUUGAGUGUGAGAGAGGUAUGUGGAACUCCGAGUGUAGAGGUGAAAUUCGUAGAUAUUCGGAAGAACACCAGUGGCGAAGGCGACAUACUGGCUCAUUACUGACGC
rnacentral:rRNA from 1 species